AAAGGACGGUAGCCAAGGAGGAAGCCCCGGCUAACUACGUGCCAGCAGCCGCGGUAAGACGUAGGGGGCGAGCGUUGUCCGGAAUUACUGGGCGUAAAGAGCACGUAGGCGGGAACUUAAGUCAGGUGUAAAAGACCGGGGCUCAACUCCGGGGUGGCACUUGAAACUGGGUUUCUUGAGGGCAGGAGAGGGAAGCAGAAUUCCUGGUGUAGCGGUGAAAUGCGUAGAAAUCAGGAGGAAUACCAGUGGCGAAGGCGGCUCUCUGGGACUGACCCUGACGCUGAGGUGCGAAAGCGUGGGUAGCAAACAGGAUUAGAUACCCUGGUAGUCCACGCUGUAAACGAUGGAUACUAGGUGUAGGAGGUAUCGACCCCUUCUGUGCCGCAGCUAACGCAAUAAGUAUCCCGCCUGGGGAGUACGAUCGCAAGGUUGAAACUCAAAGGAAUUGACGGGGGCCCGCACAAGCGGUGGAGCAUGUGGUUUAAUUCGAUGCAACGCGAAGGACCUUACCAGGUCUUGACAUCCAAAGAAUUCUUACGAAAGUAGGAAGUGCCUUCGGGAGCUUUGAGACAGGUGGUGCAUGGUUGUCGUCAGCUCGUGUCGUGAGAUGUUGGGUUAAGUCCCGCAACGAGCGCAACCCUUGCUAUUAGUUGCUAACAGGUAGAGCUGAGCACUCUAAUGGGACUGCCCGUGACAAGCGGGAGGAAGGUGGGGAUGACGUCAAAUCAUCAUGCCCUUUAUGAUCUGGGCUACACACGUGCUACAAUGGAUGGUACAAAGAGAAGCAAAGCCGCGAGGUGGAGCGAAUCUCAAAAAGCCAUUCUCAGUUCGGAUUGGAGUCUGCAACUCGACUCCAUGAAGUCGGAAUCGCUAGUAAUUGCGAAUCAGCACGUCGCAGUGAAUGCGUUCCCGGGCCUUGUACACACCGCCCGUCACACCACGAAAGUCGGCAACACCCGAAGCCGGUGAGCUAACUGCAAAGAGGCAGCCGUCGAAGGUGGGGUUGGUAAUUGGGGUGAAGUCGUAACAAGGUAACCAAU
rnacentral:rRNA from 1 species